UGGGGAAUAUUGCACAAUGGGCGCAAGCCUGAUGCAGCCAUGCCGCGUGUAUGAAGAAGGCCUUCGGGUUGUAAAGUACUUUCAGCGGGGAGGAAGGCGAUAAGGUUAAUAACCUUGUCGAUUGACGUUACCCGCAGAAGAAGCACCGGCUAACUCCGUGCCAGCAGCCGCGGUAAUACGGAGGGUGCAAGCGUUAAUCGGAAUUACUGGGCGUAAAGCGCACGCAGGCGGUCUGUCAAGUCGGAUGUGAAAUCCCCGGGCUCAACCUGGGAACUGCAUUCGAAACUGGCAGGCUAGAGUCUUGUAGAGGGGGGUAGAAUUCCAGGUGUAGCGGUGAAAUGCGUAGAGAUCUGGAGGAAUACCGGUGGCGAAGGCGGCCCCCUGGACAAAGACUGACGCUCAGGUGCGAAAGCGUAGGGAGCAAACA
rnacentral:rRNA from 1 species